rnacentral:rRNA from 1 species
GGAACUGAAACAUCUAAGUACCCCGAGGAAAAGAAAUCAACCGAGAUUCCCCCAGUAGCGGCGAGCGAACGGGGAGGAGCCCAGAGCCUGAAUCAGCAUGUGUGUUAGUGGAAGCGUCUGGAAAGGCGCGCGAUACAGGGUGACAGCCCCGUACACAAAAGCGCAUGUGCUGUGAGCUCGAUGAGUAGGGCGGGACACGUGGUAUCCUGUCUGAAUAUGGGGGGACCAUCCUCCAAGGCUAAAUACUCCUGACUGACCGAUAGUGAACCAGUACCGUGAGGGAAAGGCGAAAAGAACCCCGGCGAGGGGAGUGAAAAAGAACCUGAAACCGUGUACGUACAAGCAGUGGGAGCACCCUUUGGGGUGUGACUGCGUACCUUUUGUAUAAUGGGUCAGCGACUUAUAUUCUGUAGCAAGGUUAACCGCAUAGGGGAGCCGGAGGGAAACCGAGUCUUAAUUGGGCGUUAAGUUGCAGGGUAUAGACCCGAAACCCGGUGAUCUAGCCAUGGGCAGGUUGAAGGUUGGGUAACACUAACUGGAGGACCGAACCGACUAAUGUUGAAAAAUUAGCGGAUGACCUGUGGCUGGGGGUGAAAGGCCAAUCAAACCGGGAGAUAGCUGGUUCUCCCCGAAAGCUAUUUAGGUAGCGCCUCGUGAAUUCAUCUCCGGGGGUAGAGCACUGUUUCGGCUAGGGGGCCAUCCCGGCUUACCAACCCGAUGCAAACUGCGAAUACCGGAGAAUGUUAUCACGGGAGACACACGGCGGGUGCUAACGUCCGUCGUGAAGAGGGAAACAACCCAGACCGCCAGCUAAGGUCCCAAAGUCAUGGUUAAGUGGGAAACGAUGUGGGAAGGCCCAGACAGCCAGGAUGUUGGCUUAGAAGCAGCCAUCAUUUAAAGAAAGCGUAAUAGCUCACUGGUCGAGUCGGCCUGCGCGGAAGAUGUAACGGGGCUAAACCAUGCACCGAAGCUGCGGCAGCGACACUCAGGUGUUGUUGGGUAGGGGAGCGUUCUGUAAGCCUGCGAAGGUGUGUCGUGAGGCAUGCUGGAGGUAUCAGAAGUGCGAAUGCUGACAUAAGUAACGAUAAAGCGGGUGAAAAGCCCGCUCGCCGGAAGACCAAGGGUUCCUGUCCAACGUUAAUCGGGGCAGGGUGAGUCGACCCCUAAGGCGAGGCCGAAAGGCGUAGUCGAUGGGAAACGGGUUAAUAUUCCCGUACUUGGUGUUACUGCGAAGGGGGGACGGAGAAGGCUAUGUUGGCCGGGCGACGGUUGUCCCGGUUUAAGCGUGUAGGUGUGUGUUCCAGGUAAAUCCGGUUCACUUUAACACUGAGGCGUGAUGACGAGGCACUACGGUGCUGAAGCAACAAAUGCCCUGCUUCCAGGAAAAGCCUCUAAGCAUCAGGUAACAUCAAAUCGUACCCCAAACCGACACAGGUGGUCAGGUAGAGAAUACCAAGGCGCUUGAGAGAACUCGGGUGAAGGAACUAGGCAAAAUGGUGCCGUAACUUCGGGAGAAGGCACGCUGACACGUAGGUGAAGUGAUUUACUCACGGAGCUGAAGUCAGUCGAAGA